rnacentral:rRNA from 2 species
UCACAUGACUCUCGGCAACGGAUAUCUCGGCUCUUGCAUCGAUGAAGAACGUAGCAAAAUGCGAUACCUGGUGUGAAUUGCAGAAUCCCGUGAACCAUCAAGUUUUUGAACGCAAGUUGCGCCUAAGGCCUUUUGGCCAAGGGCACGUCUGCCUGGGCGUCACGC